rnacentral:rRNA from 1 species
CCUACGGGGUGCAGCAGUAGGGAAUAUUGCUCAAUGGGGGAAACCCUGAAGCAGCAACGCCGCGUGGAGGAUGAAGGUUUUCGGAUUGUAAACUCCUUUUGUUAGAGAAGAUAAUGACGGUAUCUAACGAAUAAGCACCGGCUAACUCCGUGCCAGCAGCCGCGGUAAUACGGAGGGUGCAAGCGUUACUCGGAAUCACUGGGCGUAAAGAGCGCGUAGGCGGGAUAGCAAGUCAGAUGUGAAAUCCUAGGGCUUAACCAUAGAACUGCAUUUGAAACUGUUAGUCUAGAGUAUGGGAGGGGUAGGUGGAAUGCUUGGUGUAGGGGUAAAAUCCGUAGAGAUCAAGAGGAAUACUCAGUGCGAAGGCGACCUGCUAGAACAUAACUGACGCUGAGGCGCGAAAGCGUGGGGAGCAAACAGGAUUAGAUACCCUUGUAGUC